UGGCUCAGGAUGAACGCUGGCGGCGUGCCUAAUACAUGCAAGUCGAGCGAACAGACGAGGAGCUUGCUCCUCUGACGUUAGCGGCGGACGGGUGAGUAACACGUGGAUAACCUACCUAUAAGACUGGGAUAACUUCGGGAAACCGGAGCUAAUACCGGAUAAUAUAUUGAACCGCAUGGUUCAAUAGUGAAAGACGGUUUUGCUGUCACUUAUAGAUGGAUCCGCGCCGCAUUAGCUAGUUGGUAAGGUAACGGCUUACCAAGGCAACGAUGCGUAGCCGACCUGAGAGGGUGAUCGGCCACACUGGAACUGAGACACGGUCCAGACUCCUACGGGAGGCAGCAGUAGGGAAUCUUCCGCAAUGGGCGAAAGCCUGACGGAGCAACGCCGCGUGAGUGAUGAAGGUCUUCGGAUCGUAAAACUCUGUUAUUAGGGAAGAACAAAUGUGUAAGUAACUAUGCACGUCUUGACGGUACCUAAUCAGAAAGCCACGGCUAACUACGUGCCAGCAGCCGCGGUAAUACGUAGGUGGCAAGCGUUAUCCGGAAUUAUUGGGCGUAAAGCGCGCGUAGGCGGUUUUUUAAGUCUGAUGUGAAAGCCCACGGCUCAACCGUGGAGGGUCAUUGGAAACUGGAAAACUUGAGUGCAGAAGAGGAAAGUGGAAUUCCAUGUGUAGCGGUGAAAUGCGCAGAGAUAUGGAGGAACACCAGUGGCGAAGGCGACUUUCUGGUCUGUAACUGACGCUGAUGUGCGAAAGCGUGGGGAUCAAACAGGAUUAGAUACCCUGGUAGUCCACGCCGUAAACGAUGAGUGCUAAGUGUUAGGGGGUUUCCGCCCCUUAGUGCUGCAGCUAACGCAUUAAGCACUCCGCCUGGGGAGUACGACCGCAAGGUUGAAACUCAAAGGAAUUGACGGGGACCCGCACAAGCGGUGGAGCAUGUGGUUUAAUUCGAAGCAACGCGAAGAACCUUACCAAAUCUUGACAUCCUCUGACCCCUCUAGAGAUAGAGUUUUCCCCUUCGGGGGACAGAGUGACAGGUGGUGCAUGGUUGUCGUCAGCUCGUGUCGUGAGAUGUUGGGUUAAGUCCCGCAACGAGCGCAACCCUUAAGCUUAGUUGCCAUCAUUAAGUUGGGCACUCUAAGUUGACUGCCGGUGACAAACCGGAGGAAGGUGGGGAUGACGUCAAAUCAUCAUGCCCCUUAUGAUUUGGGCUACACACGUGCUACAAUGGACAAUACAAAGGG
rnacentral:rRNA from 1 species